CUGACCCUGGUUGUAUUAAUGUGGAUAGUUCUAAUAGUCCUGGUCCUUUCUGCAACAGUCUAUAUUAGAUCCUAACUCAAGCACGUAGUUCAGAACUAAACAAUGACUCUAAGCUAUAACACUAUAUCCUAACCAAUAUUUAUUAAAACUACAUUCUGUAAUCUUAACUUUCAACUCAACAUGAGUUGCUGACUCAAUCACCUAGUCCAAAUAUCACUAAUAAGGGUAGACUCUCUACCUAACCUAACCUAACACAGUGACUUAAACCUGUCGCUCUGAUACCAACUGUGACAGCCCAGAAUCCGGGGUGCAGAUUCGGUGUCACUAAAAAGAAUAAACUAAACAAUAAAAUAAACUAAUGACAGCUGAAUAGAUUAACAUAAUAAAUAUUUACCAUUACACCCCUGACCAAAGAUCUUGCCAGGUUUAAGUCUGCGAAAGGUUUAAACUGUUACUGCAAACGAACGACGACAUAGGUUCCUUACUACAUGAGUUUUCCACUACAACCAUACUGACACUAUAAUACAACUUCAAAGAAACAAGUCGUACUAACUAAUCCACACUUAGUCCAAGACUCCUAGCAUCAUCCUGCGAUUUUCCUAGCACAAAAGAUAACUCUGGGAAACCUUAUAAGCAGCUGCUCUAAUCCUUGGCAUCUGAAAGGGGUUAGUUUGAAAAUAAACAGGUAUGAGCCAAAGAAAUGCUCAGCAAGUAUAACAAAAUGAAAUUGAUAUUUGUUGUACAGCAAUGCCAUAAUAAAGAAGUGAAAAUAUUUAAAACUGCAGAAAUGAAUGUAUAAGCAAAUAUCUCUUGAAGGCAGGAUAACUUCUUUUUAAACUAUUCACAAUUUUAUUGGGCUUUAAAAAUCAUUGGACACCUGGCUAUAACAGAUGAUCAGUCAUGCUAUAGUCCAUAAACCAAGCUUAUUCAGCAAGGUUGACAAAUAUUACGAAUUCCGGUAAUCCGGGCUUAAGGAGCCACCUUUCACGCUGGGCCGGUGCCCGAGCCUCUUACGCAAAAACAACCCAAUAGUUUAAUUUUUAGAACAAUCUGCAGUUCCAUCAUGUAAUUCAAGAGCCAAAAUAACAUUUUGUUAAAACAAUUUCUUUAUACAUAUAAUAGUGUAGAGUCGAUACCAAAAGUGUUAUCCGUUCAACCAAAAAGUUUGGAAAUACUAGAUAUGCUUCACAAGAGAGUAAUUGCAAAUAAUUUGAAUCAUGAUAUAAAGAAGGUUUUAGUAUCUAUAGGUACUAGAGAAGUAGGGUAGAAAUACUUGCCUUGAUAAUAGAAUGCUAGAGAUAAGACUGCACUAUACUGUUAGGCUCUCUAACCGGAACCUACAGGAUAGAAGACUGGGUCUUAACUAUUUGAAUCCAAAGUCAUAUCCUCAAUAUCACUUAAUCACUACCCUUCGUUUAUAUAAACAUAAAUUUCAGCCAAAC
rnacentral:lncRNA from 1 species